GUUGCAAGAAGUAAAGAGCCGACUCGUGUCGCUUGGGGUCGGUCUGGAGGUGUCCAAUGCAGUCACGGAUCUCGUUUGCCAACAAGGCUACGAUAGGAGCUAUGGCGCCCGACCACUGAGGAGAGCGGUGACCCAACUUAUCGAGGAUGUCGUAAGUGAAGCUCUUCUGACCGGAGAUUACAAGCCUGGAGAAACACUCGUGGUCGAUGUAGAUGCUUCGGGGAACCCUU
rnacentral:misc_RNA from 1 species